rnacentral:tRNA from 1 species
GACCCGAUGGUGCAGUGGCAAGCGCGUCCAUCUCCGGGGGCCUCACCAGCCCUCUAUAACUGGAAGAGUCCUGUUCGAUUCAGGAUCGGGUCG